rnacentral:misc_RNA from 1 species
GAUGAAGAACGUAGUGAAAUGCGAUAAGUAAUGUGAAUUGCAGAAUUCAGUGAAUCAUCGAAUCUUUGAACGCACAUUGCGCCCCUUGGUAUUCCGAGGGGCAUGCCUGUUCGAGCGUCAUUAUAACCCCUCAAGCUCAGCUUGGUGUUGGGGCCUGCUGCACUGGCAGCCCUUAAAAUCAGUGGCGGCGCCAUCUGGCUCUAAGCGUAGUAAUUCUUCUCGCUAUGGAGUCCUGGUGGACGCUUGCCAUCAACCCCCAAUUUUUCUAUGGUUGACCUCGGAUCAGGUAGGGAUACCCGCUGAACUUAAGCAUAUCAAUAAGCGGAGGA